rnacentral:rRNA from 1 species
UACGUAGGUGGCAAGCGUUGUCCGGAUUUACUGGGCGUAAAGAGCGCGCAGGCGGUCGUUCAAGUCGCGUGUGAAAGCCCCCGGCUCAACUGGGGAGGGUCACGCGAUACUGAUCGACUCGAAGGCAGGAGAGGGAAGUGGAAUUCCCGGUGUAGUGGUGAAAUGCGUAGAUAUCGGGAGGAACACCAGUGGCGAAGGCGACUCCUGGCCUGUUCUUGACGCUGAGGCGCGAAAGCUAGGG